rnacentral:rRNA from 1 species
UACGUAGGGCGCAAGCGUUGUCCGGAAUUAUUGGGCGUAAAGGGCGCGUAGGCGGCCAUUUAAGUCGGGGGUGAAAGCCUGUGGCUCAACCACAGAAUUGCCUUCGAUACUGGAUGGCUUGAGUUCGGUAGAGGUUGGUGGAACUGCGAGUGUAGAGGUGAAAUUCGUAGAUAUUCGCAAGAACACCAGUGGCGAAGGCGGCUCACUGGCCCGGUACUGACGCUGAGGUGCGAAAGCGUGGGGAGCAAACAGG